rnacentral:rRNA from 1 species
AAUAGAUACCGGGUAGUCCACGCCGUAAACGAUGGAUGCUAGCUGUACGGAGUAUCGACCCUCUGUGUAGCGAAGCUAACGCGUUAAGCAUCCCGCCUGUGGAGUACGGUCGCAAGACUAAAACAUAAAGGAAUUGACGGGGACCCGCACAAGCGGUGGAGCGUGUUGUUUAAUUCGAUGAUAAGCGAAGAACCUUACCAGGGCUUGACAUCCUGCUAAUCUUUCCGAAAGGAGAGAGUGCCUUCGGGCCGCAGUGACAGGUGAUGCAUGGCCGUCGUCAGCUCGUGUCGUGAGAUGUUUGGUUAAGUCCAUCAACGAGCGCAACCCUUGUGGCUAGUUGAAUUUUUCUAGUCAGACUGCCCUGACAACAGGGAGGAAGGAGGGGAUGAUGUCAGGUCAGUAUUUCCCUUACGCCCUGGGCUACAAACACGCUACAAUGGCCGGUACAAAGGGCAGCCAAGUCGCGAGACGGAGCAAAUCCCAUCAAAGCCGGUCUCAGUUCAGAUUGCAGGCUGAAACUCG